rnacentral:rRNA from 1 species
ACACCUACGGGUGGCAGCAGUCGAGGAUCUUCGGCAAUGGGCGCAAGCCUGACCGAGCGACGCCGCGUGUGCGAUGAAGGCCUUCGGGUUGUAAAGCACUGUCGAGGGGGAGGAAAGCCCGCAAGGGUCUGACCUAUCCCUGGAGGAAGGACGGGCUAAGUUCGUGCCAGCAGCCGCGGUAAGACGAACCGUCCAAACGUUGUUCGGAAUCACUGGGCUUAAAGGGCGCGUAGGCGGGUCAGCAAGUCCGGGGUGAAAUCUUUCGGCUUAACCGGAAAAGUGCCUUGGAAACUGCUGGUCUAGAGGGAGGUAGGGGCAUGUGGAACUUCUGGUGGAGCGGUGAAAUGCGUUGAUAUCAGAAGGAACGCCGGUGGCGAAAGCGACGUGCUGGAUCUCUUCUGACGCUGAGGCGCGAAAGCCAGGGGAGCAAACGGGAUUAGAUACCCCGGUAGUCCUGGCCCUAAACGAUGAGAACUAG